CAGUCGCCACGGGUAUACGGAGGGUGCAAGCGUUAAUCGGAAUUACUGGGCGUAAAGCGCACGCAGGCGGUCUGUCAAGUCAGAUGUGAAAUCCCCGGGCUUAACCUGGGAACUGCAUUUGAAACUGGCAGGCUAGAGUCUUGUAGAGGGGGGUAGAAUUCCAGGUGUAGCGGUGAAAUGCGUAGAGAUCUGGAGGAAUACCGGUGGCGAAGGCGGCCCCCUGGACAAAGACUGACGCUCAGGUGCGAAAGCGUGGGGAGCAAACAGGAUUAGAUACCCGAGUAGUCCCUGUCUCUUAUAC
rnacentral:rRNA from 1 species